rnacentral:lncRNA from 1 species
GUCUACAUCACUACAUGUAUAAAUUUGGGAUACAAACCACCGGUUACAAACCGUUUGCAAGAUUGGUUAUAAAUGGAGCGGUUUGUUUCUAAUUGCCUCUAGCUACCAAUCAAACCAAUUACAUAUUCCAGAAUAACGUUUAAAUUUGAGUGACAAAAACAAUAACAAUUAAAUCUAAAAUAGUAUUUGAACUUCAAUGUCAGCAUAAAAUAAUCACUUUCGGAUAGCUGGAUAGUUAACUAAAAUAGGGAUUUUAAUAAUUGAUGAAGUUAUGUUAUACUAAUCUAUUUGAAACUGGAUUCGUGGAUCCCAGUCAUUCGUGUGUGGAGUAAAAUCAUACUAGUAGCCCUUUUGGUGUUGAAAAAGCCAAAAUUUAAUCCUUACACGUGAACUUGUUCAAAAAAUGUCAUCUUAAAAAAAUUAUUAAUGAUAGAUACAAAGGCAAAAAACUCGACAAAGUAAACAUACUAAAAAAGAAAAACUCUUGCUCGUUCAUGGGUUCCAGUAUGUGAAUUAGUUGUAAUAGCUUUCGUAACGGUAUUUACUAUCUACAUAUUUACAUUUUAAUUUGAUAAAUUUUUGUCAAAAUUUUAAUGACUUUAUUGCACCAACUACUAGGAAGAAUUUGGGGACGUUCAUUUCAGAGAGAUCUUAGUAAAAAUGUUGCUCCUAUAUUUAUUGUAGCUGUCAUUUAAGAAGUCCAUUCUCUUCAUCAUGAUAGUAGAAAACACCUAAGAUGUUAUGAAACAAUAAUAACAACUUUUUGUAAGAACAAUGUUAUAAGAUACCUUUUAUCAAAAAAAAUUAUAAGAUAAAUCCAACCCUAGAGACAUAUUUGCUAUAUAUAUAACACCCAUAUUGUCAGGUAAUUUUGGUUGUAUCAUCCGGUCGUGGAGUUAUAUAGCCGACCAUAAAACUUGGCCAUUGAAUCAACCAUCAGAACGAUUUACCUAGCUGCCGAGUCAACCAUUUUUUAUUGUGAUUUAUCCAUGGGAGCAUCAAUUCAUUUGAGAAAAGAAUAUACAUCACCAUUAUAUUUUUAUUAUUGAUCUUCUCAUCGUUAUCGUCAUCACGAAUAACGUCUUUGCUUCAAAGAGACACCGUCUUAAUUCCACACCGUAAGGGUGUACGUACGUAAUCCAUCGUCCGUACCAUCAAAAACCAUACCCCCACCGUCACUCUUAAUCUAUGGUGUUUCUACUUCGUCAAACAUCAUCAUGGUUUUGAUUUCUUUUUUAUUAAAAAAUCGACGAAGCAAUGUUCUAGAAAAAUCCGUCACUAAGAAUUGGACGUAUCUUCUUCGUUUUCGUGAAAAGAGCAACAUAAAAAAAUAAUCUUACAACCAUUUCAUCAAUACUGAGGGAUUGGUUUAGCUAAUUUUUCAAAGUUGUUUUUCCUUUUUCUUUUUGUUGUCGGCUUAAGAAAGUUUAGAUUACGAAAGUACAUUAAAUUCUUUUUUUAUAAAACAAUAGUUUCAUCCAAACACAUCAUCAUUAAGAGAGCCGAAACGUCUUCAAGAACUCACACAAAAGGACAACAACAUAAACUAUGUAUUACAGAUUGCUUAUAACGAAAAUUUGCGUUAUCUAAAUUCAGUCCAUGUGAGUCCAACAAAAAAAUCAAUCAUUUCUACACUGGAAUCCACAAAUUUCUGAUUUGGGUUUACAUAUACAACCAAAGCUUCCACCUAAUAGGUAAACACACUUUACCAGUCGAUAAACCAGUAAGAUUCAAAUUUAUGCAUGGCUUCCCCACAUACAAGAAUAUAUGUAUAUGUGUAUAUGAAUAUUCUAAGUGGUCAUAUGGAAUCCAUAAAUCCAAAAAGAUUGGAAUAAAAAGAGUAAGAGUAACGCAGCGAAAAUCUGAUGUGUAAAAGAGAUGGUUUUGGAAGUUGUUGCAAUAGAAGCGUAUGAUAAGAAAAGAGACAUGCACUUGAGCUCUACCGAGAAGGAAGUAGGCGAGCCAUACGCAUCUGGAUGAUAUAUGAUUUCUCCUUGACCACAUUUGAAUUCUCCUAAACUCCAUUCCUAUAUAUUGUUUCAUAGAUUUAUCAAAAGAUAUGAUUACCAUACAGUUGAUUUGAUCAUAUCAUAUAUUAUUAACAAGUGACAUAUAAAUAGUGUUGAAGUGUUCAUACGAACCUCAAGCUGGCGACCAAAAGUGACAAGGAUAGUGUCGGGAUCAGCGUGGAAAGAAAGUGGGCCUUUUCCUGAGUUGAUACGGAACUCGCAGUUCUUGGCCGGAAGGUGAAGGCUGAGUGUGUAAUGAAGCAUUUCUUCUGUCUUUUCUUUAGGCAAAGGAGGGCUUUGCUCUGUGACGUUUUCAUGAUUGUACCUGUAAACGCUGAGCACAGAUUCUCCUCUUUGUAUUCUUUUAUCAGUCUGUCUCCUUGAGUUUUCUACCAUUAUUUGCCCUAGUUUCCUUGCUACCCCUUCAAGUUUAUCAGCUACAUUCUCCAUUUCUUGGCUGCAACAAAGAUCCAAAUAUUUUAUCCAAAAUCCUCAAAUCACUUCUUUAUUCAUAAUAACAUUCAAGUUUGUUAAAAAAAGUGUGGCCCAAUAACGGCCCAAUACCUGAAACAGCGGUACCUUUCCGGUCCGAUAUACUCGCGCGCCCAUUCCAUGCGCUCCUUCCACGACCGAACCCAAACGAUCUCGUCUCUGUUUCCGACAACACUCCGGCGAAACCCGGUGUCUCUUCCCUCUAAAACUCCGAAAACCCGACCCGAUUCCCUAACAAGAGACCUAAGCUCCUCGCUCGAUAUCCCAUGGUAGCUCACACGAAACGCCCCGAACUCCCUCGCCGAUCGCACCAGACGAUCCACCGAUCCUUCUCUCCUCGACGCCAAUAGCCGGAAAUCAAUCUCCGCCGGGAUCAGGUGGCGUGAACCGCAAGAUUCACCGCCCGAAUGAGAUUCAGGGAGCGUGAGCUCUGGAACCUGGAUCGAUCUCUCGAUGAUCUCGGUGAGGAUCUCGCUCGCAGCGGAGCGAGAUCCUCUGGCUCUAGGGAUCGGAGACGGAGGAGGUGGUGGUGGAGUCAAUGAAGAUACGUUCAAUUGGCUCCUGGUUCGCAUCAGAGCCAUCGGAGAGAGAAGAUGAUCCGACGUUUUCGGGCGGGUUUCCAAUUAAUAAAAUCCGCCCCAAGAAAAAAAUGGAAAGACUUUUUUGUUUUUCGAUUGUUAGAGAAGGCACAUUCCUUUGCGUAUUUCUUUUAUUUGUUUUGUAUUCAAUUUCUUGAGAAAGUGAGGGUCCAUUACUGAAUUCGAAUGUAAGAAAAAAUUAAUAUUUUAUUUACUUCGUGUUGUUUACAUGAUUGUGAUAUGGUUUAGUGAAUGAGAAUGAUGAUGAUCAUAUAUGGUUCUGUAACUUCAUUUGCGCUGUGAAGAUUCGAAUAUGUCAGAUGGAAAAGCUUUGAGAAAUGCAUUCAUAAGAUGUUUGCCACCUUGAGUUCUUGGGCCAUUAUAUGGGCCGCAUUGAAUGUUUUGAUCCGGUCCACAUGUUUAAGUGCUAAUCAAUCUCAAGGACAAGAUAGAUAGGCUUUUGAAAAUUUGCGAAGAGACAAAGGAUUUGAAUUUCCUCUUUUAAGGACCAUAGUCCUUAGGAAGAGGAAACGAAAAAGUUUGACAUAUGUGGACAUAAGGCAAAGAAGUAAAGGUUGUCCAGCACUGUAAUAAGACAUUAAGACCAUUGAAUAAUUGAGAAACCCUUAAUCACUUGGAUCCAAUAUUUUAGUAUCCCCUUUCAUAUAUAGCUUCCCUUUUAGUAUGUUAUUAUAGACUAUAUAUCAAGCCCCAUUAACUACAUGUGGACAUGAAUGAUCAAAUUUAGUUACCCCGAAGUUGACAUGAAUGAUCAAAUCUAACAGAAACAAGUACUAUAAAGUCUGUUAAUAAGAACCCCAAGCUAAUCGAAGGGUCGUUAUUAAUAAUACAUAUGUAUAUCUGUACCAAUUCGUUUUCUCGUGGCGUAAUUAAAAUAUAAAAAUUUGUACCAACCAAGUUUUUGAAUUCGUUUUUUUAAGUUUUAGAUAAGUGGACCAAACUAAGUUAACAAGUGUAAGUUCUACAUUUUAAGUAGCAAAAGAGAAAAGUUAGCAAGUGUGGUGUGUGUGCAUAAUUGAAGUUAAAGGGCAUGCAUGUGAUUAUACACUAAUUGGUUAGUCAUAGCAUCUUCCGUACGUUAGUAAGCUUCGCUUAUGGUCCCCAUUCGAAUACUCCUUUUAUAAUUUGCUCCACCAGAUUUUGGGCAAUAAGAUGACAAAUUUAACUAUCAAAACGAAGAAUAGGAAGCAGAACCAUUCGGAGGAUAAAUUUUAUUAAAAACAGUUGUUUAUUAUUACAAAUGAUAUAUACGUAGGUGUCGCAGUAGGAGACAUGGAACAAACACCGAAGCUGUCGCUAUCAAAGAAGAUGUAAUGGAAGUGUGAAAAUAGCUUAUAAACUCUUUUGCAUGGGUCGGAGAAGACAAUCACCACCUCCCCUAAUGAUUUUGUAUUUCGAAAAUCUUCACUUUAUCGAAGAAAUUUAUUUUUAUUAUAAGAAAAUUGCAGCUAAAAUGCCUUUAAGAUGACACCAUCAUUGAAUUUUUUUUUUCAGAAUCUUUUAUAUUAUCGAAGAAAUUGUUAUUUAAAAAUUGCAAAUUGCAAUUAAGUAGAAGCCCUUAAUUAAUCCCUUUCAACAACGUAUUAUGAUGUUUAAUUUUAUCCUUAUUGUUGAACCAACAAAAUACAAUUAUCCUUAUUCUAAAUUUUGGCUAAUGAUUCAAAAUUUCACAUUUUCUUAACUCUUGUGUUAAUAAAUUAGUAAUUAAUGCUAAGGGUGCAUCAUUUAUGCAUACAAAGAUAACUAUUUCAAUAUUUUCCGUAAGAAAAUAUUUUUGUGAACCAAACAAAAAAAAAUGUUGGGAAAGGAAUAGUGCUCAAUGUAGAAGAGCUAACGUACACUUGUCAAAACCUACGUGAAACCUUGUCUUUCUUUCAUUAUGUAAACCGUGGAAGCAUUUCAAACAGACACACACGGUAAUUCUGAUAUUAGCAAGCCUAAAAUAACUUGGAUGACCAGAUUUUAAAAAGUAAACCAUAUACUAAAAAGCAUGCAUAAGGAAGCUCAAUAAACAAGGAACAUAAAAUCAUAAACUAUAAAAAAAACAUGGAAAAAAAUAGCUCAAUACACAACGUGCAUGAGGUCGGAUAUUUUCUAGUAAAGAACAUGAUUUUUCAUUGCAUCAUUGGCUUUAAGUUUCCUUUCUAUAGUUUUCAAACAUCUCGGUUUGUUUGUUAAUGACACAUUUUUAUUUAUAGUUAAAUGUUAUGUUAGUGCCGACAGAAAAAAAUAUUACAACAACAGUACAUGAAGAUGUCGGUUGAAUGAUUAAAUUUUAUGUCAUUCUGAUGGACUGUCGAUCAACUUUCAGGUAACAUCGACAAAAAUUGUAUGUAUAUAAGAUUGAGUUUUCUAAAGAAAGAGGCUUGAAUCUAAAGUCCUAAACUUUUACAGGUUAUAAAACUUUAGAACGCAAAUAUAUUGUUCGAUAGUGUUUAUCGUUACCAGUUAAGCAUUAUUCCCAGACAAAAAAUAACUAACACUGUAAAAUAUGUUUUAGAAUGUGUUUUAAUUUCCUAUGCAUCGAACCAGGACAAAGCUUCUUCGCUGUCUACAUUUUGGGGGAUAAUAUAAGAAAAACAAAACUUCAAACAUGUUUAUCAAUAGACAAUUAUUAGGUUUAGAUUUUGUGUAGCAUAUGGGAAUUUUUAUCCAUUAUUUAUUAUACAAAUUUAGAUAUAGGGUGUAGCAAUAGAUAAUAAUAGUAAUAAUAAUAAUAAUAAUAAUAAUAAUAAUAGUAAUAAUAAUAAUAAUAAUAAUAAUAAUAAUAAUAAUUAUAAUAAUAAUAAUAAUAAUAAUAAUAAUAAUAAUCCUAAUCCUAAUCCUAACAAGGUUUCUGUGAAGAUGAUAGAGUUCCGAAAGCUUUUUUCUUCUCCACUUUCAUCAUGAGUGGCAUUCUCAUCUGAUAGACAAUACUUAAUCUUUUUAAUUACAUAUAUAUGGGAUAAUUGCUUUGUUGUCUUCUGUACAUUAUCCGAAUCAAACGUCUACCAAUUAAUAACCAGUUUACAUACAAACAUAUAUAUUAAACAUUACUAUUUCAUCCCUAACGAUACUUAGUAUAUCCAAGCACAUUAUAUUAGCACUGAAUCCCGGAUACUUUCUACAUAUUCUUAUCAUAAAACCUAGUUCCCGCUUUUACAACUAAUUUUGCAAAUACAGUAAAACCUCUAUAAAUUAAUACUCGAUAAAUUAAUAAUCACUAUAAAUUAAUAAAGUUUUUUGGUCCCGAGUUGGGACCAGUGUAAAAAUCCAUCAAAUUCGAUAAGAUAAUAAAAUAAUAAUUUUUUUGAAACUCCUAUGUAAAUAUAUAGUCCCAACAAAAAUAUAAAUUAAUAAUUAUAUAAAUAUAUAUACAAAUAAAUAUAUAUAUAAUAUUUUAAAAUAUGAAUAAUGUGUUUACUUUUACUUAAAGUUGAAAGUUUAUUGGUGUUCAUCUAUUUGUUUAUUACAUCUCUAUCUCUUAUUGUUUUUUUGAUAUUCAUUCAAAUUUGUGAAGAAUUUUUGAUAUAAUAAUUGGUUUUCUUACACGUAAAUAUCUAUAAAUGUAUUGUAAUAUUGUCUUCAAUUUCAUCUUUUUGAUAAUAGCCACAGUUUCUUAUAAAUUUUGAACUUCUAAACAUGUAUAUUUUUAAUAGAUAAAUUAAUAUUCUAUUAAAAACUAUUUUGUUAUGAUAACUAUAUUUAUUAAUCAUUAUUUUUAUUAAGUUAUUAUCUUAAGUUUUUAAAUACAACAUUAUUCAAUUUUUUUUUUAAAAGUUAUAGACAAAAACUAGAUUAUCUCUAUAAAUUAAUAAUUAUUAAUUUAUAGAUAAAUUAAUAUCACGAUAAAUUAAUAAAAUUUCAUGGUUCCAACAUUAUUAAUUUAUAGAGGUUUUACUGUAUUUCUAUAUUUAACAGACCAAGAACUUGAUGAAUGUGGCCGGUCAUGUUGACAUGGCUCUUUAUUUAUAAUAAUAAAUAAAGACGUUUUAUACAGAAGUUCUUUUUAUAAAUACCCUGUUUUUUUCAUACUUCAGUCAACGUUUUAAACAUAUAUAUAUAUAUAUAUGUAUAUAUAAAUUUUAAGUGAAAUUUUUAGUGUCUAAAAUAUGUAAAAGUCUAGGCCUACUAAAACGAAGGAAUUAAAUUAUACCAAAAUUUGUAAUAAGGUAAUACAUGAAACGAUAUUUAAACAUUAAUCUCAAGAGACAAAUAUAAUAAAAAGCAAGAGUCGGCAAAUAUUUUAUGCUCCGAAAGAAACUACCAAGGUGAACUCAUAUUUUAUUUGAUUUUUUUACUAUAAAUGUCCUUGCUAUAAGUGGAAAGUAAAGUAUAAAGGAAGCAGCUUAGUUAAUUAGUUUGGUCUAACAUAAAUAUGUGGAAAUAUAUUAAACACACACACACACACACACUCCUUUACUGUCUACAUAACUAAAAGGAACAUGUUCCAAAAGAAAUAAAAAGCCCUAUAUAUAUUCUAAACAAAUGGAAAAAGGCAAGUAGAAAUGUAAAAUAAUUGAGAUUAAUUAGAGUGGACUAAUGGAACUAUGGAAGUGUGCAUAAAUACGAGGGAAAGGAACUUAAACAUUCUUCUUCUCUCUAACACACACAGAGACACUCGUUCCCAAAUUCUCUGGCAAUCCUCUUUUCGUAGUUAUCAACAAGUCUUUUUUGCUAUAAGUGAAGGGUGAUAGUAUAUAUAAUAUAUACAGAUAUCUAUAUAUAUGAGCAUGUGCAGAUCCAACAUGAAAAGUAGUGAAUCUGGAGAGAUUAUAAACGGAGAAUGCGAUGUUUCAACGUCAGUCAAAGAAGAAACUAGCGCCGGCAGCUCCAAAUUCUCGGCUGGCCUCCGUCGCAUCCCUUUGAACGAGGCUUGUUUCUUUCUUAUUUUAUUUUCUUAUACAUUUUCUUUCACAAAAUAUCGAUGGCUUAGAGAACUUACUCCGCUUAUUGUUUGAUUUCAUAGUUUUGGUGAUUGAAGAUUCAGGAUCAUAUCCACAUAUUAUUGGAGACGUUUUCUACGUUUUUAUUUAUAUUUUUUUCGAUGUUUGACAAGCGAAUUAGUUAAUUUUGAUUGAUUAUAGUAUCAUUUUCAGUCACUUUUAUCGUAUUUUGGGAUGGUACGUAAUAUGGAAUUCUUGGAACUUGAUCUUAUACGUACUGGAUUGAAUGCUGCUUUGACUGUUUGUAUAGCUUCAUAAUGGAAAGUCAUGCAUCUCUUUUAAAACAAUCAAUUUGAACAAAACCCCUGUCACAAAAAAAAAAAUACAAUCAGUUUGAAGAAAACUUAAAAUAUUUAAACUUAGUUAACAAAUGUAGUUGGGAUCCAUUAUAUGUAACCAUUGUUUAUCUCUAUAUAUAACCAAAACUUGUAUUGUCUAUAUAUAUCUAAUGUUUGAAACUUUGAAUGUGUGUGUAUGUACAUAUUCAUAUGUAUGUAUAAAGCGUCAAUAGUAUGAUAUGUUAUCUCACUUUCAUGGACUGAGAUAGAUGGUGCUUUUAUUUUGGGUUGUACUUACACAAAAAGUUUCCUAUAUAUGCUUCCUCUUAUUAUGUACAUUUUCUAUUAGUCCUUUAGUUAGUACAAGUACUUUACUAUCUUAUUAAUUCCAUUUUUUAUAUAAUCAAGUCCUUCUUGAAAUACUUCAUCUAAUUCUUUUGUAAUCUAAAUAGUAGUUCAUGAUAUUUCUACAAUAUAUGCAUUUUUUUCUAGACCGAUUUUAUGUUGUUUGAAGCAUUGAUAUUUCUAUUGAAGUUCAUGAAAUGAAAGAUAUCUAAGCUGAUUGUGUUUUCCAAAAAGAAAAUAAAAAGGUGAGCUUUUUAGAACCCAUGAUGGUUUUUAUUUAAAAAGAUCCUAGAAUGUUGGUACAGUUAGCCAUUCGCUUUUCUGUCACUUGUGAAUUUGAUUAUUCAGUUCUAAAAGUUAUAGAAUUUAAACCUUUUUUCUCUUCUUUUUCAACUUUCUCAUCCCAGUCCCAGUGGCCAUGUGAUGCGACCAUCAUCCUCGUGCUUAGGAAUUGCUCUUAUAUUUAAAUUAUAUAAUAUUUUCUCGUAUUGUAUGUAAUAUCCUUCUGUUCGAUAAAAAAAAUGUUUUAAGAAUUUUUUUCUCUUACAAAAAAAAUCGUUUUAUAUUUCGUUUAACAACUAUACUAAUGAUUGAUAUACUAAGAGAUAGCUUAAUAAAUUUUAAAUAUGUGUGAAAUAUCAUAUUGAACGAGGCUUAUAUUGGAAGUGAAAACGUAUUAAAACCAAAUCGCCUACAUAUAUUCUAGUUUUUUUUUCCAUAGAUAUAUUAUUUUCCUGUGUUAUAUAUAAUAAACGAUUAAAGACUAGAUCAUAUAAAAGUAUUUUGUUAAAUGUCAAUAUACUUAGCUCGCGCGCUUCUUUCUUUAUAUGUAUAGUAUUUUCUUGAAUGCUUGUAACUAUAAGUCUAUAAGCCCAGUACAAUAAAAUAAUGAAUGCUUUUCUUGUUUAUUUACUUUUUUAUAUGUCUCGGAUUAAUAGUUAUUGACUUGAAAAACCUAACAUAUAUUUUUUCCUCCCAUGCAGGUGGGAGAGGAAAUGUCGUCGCUCACGAAAAUAGCAUGCCCGAUCGUGAUGACAUCACUCCUCAUUUUCUCGAGAUCAAUAAUCUCAAUGUGGUUCUUGAGCCACCUCGGAAAAGUCGAACUCGCUGGUGGUGCACUCGCCAUGGGCUUUGGAAACAUCACCGGAGUCUCCGUGCUCAAAGGCCUUUCCGUUGGUAUGGACCCAAUCUGUGGCCAAGCCUUCGGUGCCAAACGUUGGACCGUACUUAGCCACACGUUUCAGAAAAUGUUCUGUCUCUUGAUUGUCGUCUCUAUUCCAAUCUCCGUCACGUGGCUCAACAUCGAACCCAUUUUCCUCAGGUUGGGUCAAGACCCGGAUAUCACACGUGUCGCCAAAACAUACAUGGUCUUCUUCGUCCCUGAGCUCUUGGCUCAAGCCAUGCUUCACCCGCUACGAACGUUCCUUAGAACGCAAGGCCUAACGUCACCAUUAACGAUAUCAGCAAUCGUAUCCAUUCUUCUUCAUCCUCUCUUUAACUACGUCUUCGUCGUGCGUAUGCGUUUAGGCGUUAAGGGCGUUGCAAUCGCAAUGGCUUUUAACACAAUGAACAUCAACGUUGGACUACUCGUUUACACGUGUUAUUCGGAUUCUUUAAUCAAACCUUGGGAAGGGCUAGCUUUGCGGUCUCUUUUCCGUGGCUGGUGGCCGCUUCUUUCUCUAGCCGCACCAAGCGCAAUCUCUGUGUGUUUGGAGUAUUGGUGGUAUGAGAUAAUGCUUUUCCUUUGUGGGCUUCUUGGAAACCCUAAAGCGAGUGUGUCCGCCAUGGGAAUACUGAUUCAAACAACGGGACUACUCUACGUAGUCCCGUUUGCUAUAAGCUGCGCUAUUGCAACUCGUGUAGGCCAUGCUCUAGGAGGUGGGCAACCUACACGAGCUCAAUGUACGACCGUGAUUGGUUUGAUACUCGCAGUAGCUUACGGUUUAUCAGCUGCUGUUUUUGUGACCGCUCUUAGGUCGGUUUGGGGAAAGAUGUUCACGGACGAACCGGAGAUUCUAGGGUUGAUUUCGUCUGCGCUUCCGAUAUUAGGGCUUUGUGAGAUCGGAAACUCGCCGCAGACGGCUGCUUGCGGAGUCUUGACGGGCACGGCAAGGCCUAAAGAUGGGGCACGCGUUAACUUAUGUGCGUUUUACAUUGUGGGCUUGCCGGUGGCUGUUACAACCACGUUUGGGUUUAAAAUUGGGUUUCGUGGGCUAUGGUAUGGACUGUUGGCUGCGCAGAUUACAUGUUUAGUUAUGAUGCUUUAUACAUUGGUUCGUACGGAUUGGGCUCACCAGGUGAAGCGAGCAGAGGAACUUACUUCUGCUGCAGCCGACAAAAGUCAUUUGUCAUCGGACGAAGAAACCGUCCAAACUGAAGUAGGAGUUGAUGAUGAUGUUGGUAGCAAUGAUUUGGAGAUUGGUUUACUACAAAACACCAACUAAUCUAGAAAUUUUAAAAUUUUCAAUCGAUCAUUUUAAUGGAUUGUUAAUUACAUAGGAAUUAUUUUGUUUUGUUUUUUUUUGCAAACUAAAAUACCCAAGAUAGAUAUUUGCAUCGUAACAUUUGAUAGGUUUUAUAAUCUUGUAAAACCAGAACGUUUCAUUUUAAUGAAAUAUUUACAUUCUUAGCCAUAAAAAUAUAUAUUUGCAUCGGAAUUGCUAACCAAUAUUUUGGCAAAACAAUCAUAAGUACCUAUUAAUUGGUUGAGUUUAUAUUAUUAGCACAUGUAAUCUAGUACGUACAUGGGUUAUCUAAUAUUUUCCCCCAUGUUUCUUUAUGUAAGUCAGCACUCAGAACUCAGAAGUAUGCAGUGAAGAAACAGUUAUCAAAAUGGCUUUGCAUUUUGUAUAUAACUAGCAACAAGUUUGAUACGGCCCAAACUUGUGAAUAUACUUGCUCAUUCUUUGUUUUUUUUAAACUCUAAAUAUAUUGCUGAUUCUGAUCAAACUAAGCUAUUUAAAAAAGAAAAGAGAUUGUUUGUAAAGCUAAAACCAGAGAAAGGAAAAUUUAACUAACUAAUCAAAUAAAGAAAAUAGAAAAAUGGAACUCAAAUAGGUUUUGGGGAAACCAUGUCUAGAUUAGCUAAGAAGACUAAAACUUACGGGAAAAAGAUAUUGAAACCGAAAUCAAGGAAAAGGGGCCAUAGUGAGCCGAACUUUAACAGGAGCAAGUAGAGUAAUUUAUUGCCAAAUUUGAUUAUUUAUAUCCAGUUAAUUUUACUGUAUCUCAGUUCAAAAUCAAUUGACACAAAACGAUGGGUAUUUAUCACAAUGUAUUCAUAAAAUAUAUUGAAAUUUCUCACUUGCAUAGAUGUUAUCCGUAUCCCAUGUAUUUACCUCAUAUGGACUUUCUGGUCACACGUGUUGUGCGUACAUAUAAUAUGUUGCAUGUGGCAUUUCGGUGCCUAAUUCUCAAGGCAUAUAUCAUGUACCCCUUUAGGCACCGACAUUUUUGAAACAGUAAAUACAGUUUCUCGUGUUAAACAGUAAAUAAGAUUACACAUGAAUAAAAAAACUACAGAAGACUUAUUUUGACGUGUUCCUACCCAUACCCAUAUCCUACAGGGAACUUUUAACACAUUUUCUGACCGAAAGAACAAUCGUUCAAAAGUAUCGAGUUAAAGAUAAGAUUACAAAAUAUUUUUUUUCCUUUCAAAAUACUUAAUUUAAACGUAUCUAUUGAUUUAUUAUGUUAAAAAUUUAAGGAUAAAUAAACUAGUGAGGUUUUGCGUAAAAAAAAAUGGUGAGCUUUCGGUUUCAAAAAAGUCUCAAACUUGAAUAAGCAUAUAAUGCAUAUAUUAAUGCUGACAGAGCAAAUUCAUUAUUCUGCAGUAGGAUGGUAGAUAGAAAAAUUACACGACUCAAUUUCUUGGUGUGUAUUGAAUGAGAAUCGAUAAAAGUGACAUGUGUAUAUAAAUUAUAAAAUGCAUCAUUGCUAUUGGGGAAAAAAAUUCGAUUUAUUUAGCAACGAUAUAUGAUUUUGAAAAAGUUACAGUCUCAAAUUCGAUAUUUAAUAAAGCCAAUAAUUUUUCGUUGUUAAACGAUUUUCACGAAUCUACCAAUUUAUCCUGAAUUAAAAAUUUUAUAUGAUAGAAUAACUUCAUGUUAAUAUGUUAUGAUUGAAAGUUAUUGUAAUAUGUUAUCAUUCGAUUUUUUUUCCGGAAAAUUAAUUAGCAUUGUUUUGAGUCUUUUGACACACUGAAUUGUUUUCUUAUUAUGAAAGGCACAUACUUGUACAUCUAAAAUAAUAUAUUUCUAUCUAUAAAUACUUAUCAAAUGAAGCACUUAGUUUUACCGGGAUAAGACUAGAAUAGGCGACGGUCGAAGUGAUGGACUUGAAAAGCAAAGCAACCGACAAUGCAUGACCCCAUCCCACCCAUGUGUCAUGCAUUCAAUUUUUUUCACAUAACGACGAACCAUCUACAUACACUCUAUGGUGUUGGAGGGCAGCGAAAACCGACACCUUCUUGUGUAUAUCCUUACGGAGAAAUUUUCAGGGAAGCAAACAAAAGUUUUAAAUAAAAUAUUCAUGUACUAAUCAAAGUCAUACUCUUAAACCUAUAGAUAUCAUAAAAGGAGAAUUUUUUGUUUAGGUUUGUUCUCUUUAAUAAACUCAUCUUGGUUUCAAGCUUAAUUUCGUUCGUAAAUUGCUACGUUUUUUUGUUAAAGAUAGUAAAUUGUUACGUUAAAAGAUUCAGAUCGUCAGAUUUGGAUUUUCUUGUCAAAAAGUAGAUUUUAUUUUUCUUGUUCGUCAAUUGUUGGAUCGUAAGAUUAUCGUCUUCGCAUAAAAAAAAUGAUGACCAAUUUAAGUACGUAUUUGACAUAUGUGAUAUGUUUAAUCUAUACUUCAAUCAUUACCAAAUUUUAUGUAUUUUGUUGUACAUGUUUAAUCAUAUAUAUUUUUCUUACCUCUGGUAAAAUCAUUUUAGCUGAUACUAUAUACCGUGUCUACAAAAUCGAUGUACUUCAUGAUCAUUCUCAUUAUGUAGAAGAUAUUGAACACAUGAUGUUAAAAUAAAUAAUAUUUAAUGAAUUUUUUUUUUUUUUGCUAAAAUAAAGUUUAAUGAUAGUUCUAUGUAAAAUAUCUAUUUUGCGUAUCCAAUGUACACCUAUUUUCCUUAUUUGUUUUUUCGUACCACAUCUAUAGAAUUUAAAACUCCUAAGAAAUAUUGGAAAUUCAAAAACAAGUACGUUGGUUGUAGAACUUUUACAUAAAAAAAUAUAAAACUGAGCUAAAAAUGUCAAACAAAAUAGAUGAGAGGUCCUACAUAAUUAGGACCUCUGCAUUAAAUGAAAUCAACAACCAACCAACUACUCCUAUUCCUCUAAUCGCAUUCACAUUACAUUUCUCUAUAUAAAUACUCGCUCCCCAAACUCUCUUCAUCACUCAUCAUUACACACACAUCUCAUUUUGCAAACCAUCGAAAACAAACCCCUAGAACUAAGAGAGAAAAUGGCUGGUCUAAUGAAGUUGGCAUGCUUGGUCUUGGCUUGCAUGAUUGUGGCCGGUCCAAUCACAGCCAAAGCGGCUCUUAGCUGUGGAACCGUUAGUAGUAGCUUGGCACCGUGCAUUGGCUACUUGACCCAAGGUACGCCCCUUCCCUUAGCGUGCUGCGCCGGCGUUAAAAGACUAAACAGCAUGGCCCGUACAACCCCGGACCGUCAGCAAGCUUGCCGUUGCCUUGUUGGAGCCGCCAACGCCUUAGGUUCCGGUCUCAACACUGGCCGUGCAUCUGGACUUCCUAAGGCAUGUGGUGUCAAUAUUCCAUACGCAAUCAGCAAAAACACUAACUGCGCCAUGUAUGUGUUAAUCUCUCACUCUCUCUGAUACAUAUGAAAACUAAAGGUUUCUUGUUUUGUUACAAUACGAAUAUACGAUGUAACUAAUAUUAAAGUUAGUUUUUUUGACAAAAUGAAGAUUUGAGUUUGCUAUAAAACGGUUUCAUGUUUUACUAAAGUUUAUAAGUCUUCCCGGUUCAACCAUGUUCCAAUAUAAAAGUUGAAUUUUUAUACCGUUGCAACAAGUAUAUAUUAAAAGUUUAUUUUUUUGAGUGGAAAUUAGAGGUUUUUAUAUAGUAACGGUGUUAUGUUUAUUUGUAUGUGGUUGCAGCGUGCGUUAAAUGAGCGGCGGUCGGAUGAAGCUCUAGCGGAUGUUUCAAAUAUUAUAUGAGACUAUGAGAGAAUACUAAAUAAGAUGUAAUGUCUGUUUUUUUUUUGAGUUUUUAGUUUCCUGUCUUUUUUUCUUUUUUCUUUUAUGGUGGCGUUCCUAUUACUUGGUCGUCUGUACUAUGUUCGCAAUCAACGUUAUAUGAGUUUCAAAGUUCACAUUAUUUUAUAUUCUUACCAAAUCUUAGUUUAGUUUCAUCGAUAUGAAAAAUGAUCAUUAUACAUUAACAAUAUAUAUAUAUAUAUAUAUUGAUUUGCAUUACAGUUGGGAAGUAACGGAUAAUUUAAAUUUAAUUUUACAGCCAAAUAAAAUAACGGGACAUUCUCCAAAUUUGUACUAUUUACUUGUUUAGACUUAAGAUAAUCGAGAAAAUGAUGGAUCGCUAUAUGGAAUCGUGACAACUCUUGGAAAACCAGGACCCUAUCUUAUAAUGUGCCCAAAACUAGGGAUUUAUUUCAGUUUGACUUAAUUAAUUUUACAGAUUAGAUAAUGAUUUGGAUAUUGGACAAACCAAUAAAAUGAACAUAACGAAAUAAUAUUUCUAUCAAAAUUUGGUUAUCUUUUCAUCAUUGUUAGUUAUUAUUUUUUCUAAUUUAAUUUAAUUUAUAAUCUACCGUGUGAUGAAUUUUUUCUAAAGAAGAAAAAUCAAAAUUCUGUUAAACUCCAUACAGCUCCCAAAAGUCUAGGCCCAAUUCUGGUUGCUCUCUCAGUGUUGCUAAUUAACUACUUUUUUUUUUAACACAUCGAGGGAAACUCAAUUUUACAAUCAAAAUCAAACCAAUAAGUCUUAACCAUGAAAUAAUACCAAAGAUGAUGAAAUACAUUAGAGAAAAACCCAUAUAAGCUGCUAUUGUUGUAGAUGAAGUUUUUUUUGCAGAUUUAUUGGAGGCAACUGUGCGUUUGGGAAACAAAAUUUGGGAGGUGAGAAGAAACUCGCGUUGUGAUAAGAAAAUAGCGCAAUCACAUUUUGACGGAAAUUUACAAAAUCAUAGUUAUACCGGAAAAUCACCGACUGUUUGUUGAAUUAGUCCAAAGAGACUCAUGUUGGUUCAAGGUUUUUGUUUGUAUAGGUGGUUAUGUGAUAGAAAUAGUCGGAUUUAUAUUUCUGUUCUUCCGAAAUAACAUUUGUUGAUUUUUCUUUGUUGAUUAUUAGUCUAAUGUGUAUAAAAAAUGAUAAAGUUAAACAAAACGGGUAAAUUAUCGUUUUGCAUAAUUUUCUUACAUAUUUAUUUGAUCCACAGCGAAAAACGGUCUUGGGACAGCAGCUCUCAAGAUUAACAGCUACAGUUUGUAAAACAAAUGUAGACUUUGUUUGAGAAAGAGGAGUUUUUUAAAGUUUUUGAAACUCAUAUGUGUUUUUCUUGUUUUGUGAAGAUAUAAUUUGUGUGUACUUAACGCAUAUAUCUAGUCUUGUAUGAGUGAAUCAAAUAUUUAAAAUAAAGAUUGCAAUGUAAAUUUCUAGACUUAUAUACAUAGUGCAUACAUAUUUGUUGAAAAAUGAGAGCAUAAUAUAUGGUUUUAAUUAUAUUAAAUUUUCGUGUUGCGUGACUUGCGUUUCAUCUCAUUAAGAAAGUUUUUACGUAUUUUGUUGGAUCCGCUAGCUAAAUUAUUUUCAUUUGUUAAUCGGAUGUAAAAGAUAUUAGUCAGAUGAUGUUAAGUAAGAUACAAUAAGAAUAUAACAUUUAGUGAUAUUUCUACGUGAAAUGACUAUUUUCUUAUCCAUGUAUAGUUUUAACAUUCUUAAAAUGAAAAUGCAAGAGAGAUUACAUACGUCUUUUUGUGGGUGGGGGGGGGGGGGGGAAAAGAACUACGGUAAAAAAUGUAAGUAUUAUAAGUUUUCAGAAAAAUAAUAUGAUUGAAAUGUCAAACAAAAUACGUAGAUGAGAAAUGAGAGGUACUCACCACUCCUACAUAAUUAGGUACUGUACAUUAAAUGUAACCAACCACCAAUCAACUAAUCAUUUCCUCUAAAUCCCAUUCACAUUCACAACAUCAAAACUUUCUUUCUCUAUAUAAACACUCACUCCCUCAACUCUCUUCAUCACCCAAUAUCACUACACUACAUACAUCUGCUUCUUCAAACAACCAAAAAAAAAACUAUAUUUCCAAGAUAAAAAGAAAAUGGCUGGUCUAAUGAAGUUGGCAUUCCUGGUCUUGGCCUGCAUGAUUGUGGCCGGUCCAAUCACAGCCAAAGCGGCUCUGACCUGUGGCACCGUUACCAGCAACGUUGCAGCGUGCAUUGGCUACAUUACCCAAGGUGGGCCCGUUCCAGGAGCUUGCUGCUCAGGCAUUAAAAACCUUAACAGCAUGGCCCGUACAACCCCGGACCGUCAACAAGCUUGUCGUUGCCUUAAAACUGCCGCUAAUGC